rnacentral:rRNA from 1 species
UCAUGUCCUAAAAACAAACCAGUAAAUAAAAUCCAUAGAUUAAAAUCCGAAGAACUUGGCGGUGUUCUAUAAAAUCAGGGGAACCUGUUUCUUAAUUCGAUAAUCCACGAAAUUACUACCUUUAUUUGAAAAAUCAGUCUGUGUACUGCCGUUUACAGCAUACCUUAAAAGAUUUAGUAUGCAAGCAUAAUAAAUAUCUAAAACAGGUCAAAGUACAGCCUAUAUAAAGGGGACAAUGGGUUACAACCUUCACCAAGAUUACCAAAAGUAAACAAAAGUUUACUCCAAAGGUGGACUUGAAAGUAAUUAUUAAUCCACUAUAUAAUAAUGAAUAAAUCUCUAGAACAUGCACAAAUCGCCCGUCACUCUCUUCAAAAGAAG